UACAGAGGGUGCAAGCGUUAAUCGGAAUGAUUGGGCGUAAAGGGCGUAUAGGCGGUAAGAGAAGUUGGAUGUGAAAUAUCUGGGCUUAACCUGGAAACGGCAUCCAAAACUGACUUACUAGAGUUCAGCAGAGGGAAGUGGAAUUUCCAGUGUAGCGGUGAAAUGCGUAGAUAUUGGAAGGAACACCAGAGGCGAAGGCGGCUUUCUGGGCUGAAACUGACGCUAAAGCGCGAAAGCAUGGGGAGCAAACAGGAUUAGAUACCCCCGUA
rnacentral:rRNA from 1 species